GCCAGCUCUGACUUUCCAGCAUUAUUUUCGGUUUUGGUAUUUUGUUUUGACCCGGAUUGUUUCCUUUGGAGACACACGUGAUAUUGCCGGAAAUUGGGGAAACAUUCUACGUCCACAAUGGAGCUUGACUCAAACUCACCUUGUCGGAAAUCGUUCUGACUGCUGUGAGCUUGGAUUUAAACACAUUAUGGAUGCUAUACUGACAGCGGAAGUGCCAGAGGAUAUUUGGGAUGUUAACUGGCCAUGUUAGCUGGUUUCCAGUACAAGCAGGAACAGGCUCUGCCUUUUGGGUCUGGGGGAGUUUGGACCCAGAAGUGGAAUGUUAAACCCAAUUGAGCAUCUCUGGAGAGACCUGAAAAUGGCUGUCCACCAA